rnacentral:misc_RNA from 1 species
UAGCUUUGUUUAAUAUAAUAAUAGGUUUCUUAGAUGCACUGUUAAGAGAUAAUAAUUUUUAAAAGUUUCUCACCUUUAUCUCUUGCUCUUCUCUCUCUUGCGCUAGCUUCCCCUAUUGGUAUCAGAGCCAAGUUAGCAGGUAAGUUAUUCAUAAGUUCUAGUGAAACUCAAGUCGCGUGUCGGUUGAAGCCGUGAAGAAAGGCGUGUUAGGUUGUUGGAGUAAUAUCAUUGACGGUGAUCUAGAACAAAUGGAUAAAUUAUUUUCUAGCUUAUCGAGUAGCUUUAGGAGUUCUAGUUCAAAGUUUAAGAUUGAACAAGAUGGUACUGAUGAAAUUGUUACACCAUCCAUACAAAUAAAUUUCUAUAAAGCAAUAUAAUUUGUAUGUGUGUUAAAUUUUGUGUUUCUACUCUGGUUAACUAUUGUCCUAAAGUGUAUAAGCUUAGAUUUGAAAAUUUUCUUUGCUUGUCUAUUUUGGUAAAAGGACUACAGUCUACUUCUUGGUUUUCUGCUCUCUUAUAAGAUAGAUCAGUUAAGGGUGGAUGAAUUCCUUUUAGAAUUUUUCCUUUUCCUGAAAUAAAAUUUUUAUAAGAUGAUUCUAAGGUUAUUAGAAACAACUUAUCUUCAAAAUUAGGAAGUUCUUUUUCCCUUAAGGAAAGCAUAUGCCUUAAAAAUUCUGGGAAAUUUUUAAUCUCUCCUCUUCAUUUAUACCACUAGUACUAGUCUAGAUAAGACUUCUAUUGUUUUUCUGAAAAAGUUAUUUGAAACCAUUUAUUAAAUGACGUUUCUUCUUUGGAUAAGGCCAUUAUUUUAAACGAUCAAUUCAAGCUUUCUUUAUCAUAUCCCAUGUCAAAGGGUGUUGGGCUUUCAGGUUUUUUUGGGUUUCCAUAUAUAGGCUGUGCUACUUGUUCCUCUGUUCGAUGGAUACCUCCAAUAGAACUAGAUCUUUAUAGAGGCUCAAUGGAUGACAAAGAGGACCUAGGAAGCAUAGGUUCAGAAUACACUGUUCUUCCAGAAAAUGAAUUCCUGGACUUAUUCCUGGCAAAGGAUAUAGCUACAGUGCCUUGAUUUGUUUCUAUUACAGGUUGAAGUUCUGUUGAGUCCUCCAU